GAUGAACGCUGGCGGCGUGCCUAACACAUGCAAGUCGAACGGAGUUAUUACAAGGAAGUUUCCGGAUGGAAUGGUAAUAACUUAGUGGCGGACGGGUGAGUAACGCGUGGGUAACCUGCCCCAUACAGGGGGGAUAACAGCUGGAAACGGCUGCUAACACCGCAUAAGCUAACAGCGUCGCAUGGGUCAGUGUGAAAAUAUUUAUAGGUAUGAGAUGGACCCGCGUCUGAUUAGCUAGUUGGUAGGGUAACGGCCUACCAAGGCGACGAUCAGUAGCCGGCUUGAGAGAGUGACCGGCCACAUUGGGACUGAGACACGGCCCAAACUCCUACGGGAGGCAGCAGUGGGGAAUAUUGCACAAUGGGGAAACCCUGAUGCAGCGACGCCGCGUGAGCGAUGAAGUAUUUCGGUGUGUAAAGCUCUAUCAGCAGGGAAGAAAAUGACGGUACCUGGCUAAGAAGCACCGGCUAAAUACGUGCCAGCCGCCGCCGUAAGAC
rnacentral:rRNA from 1 species